ensembl:snRNA U6 U6 spliceosomal RNA
GCACUCACUUUGGCAGCACAUAUACUAAAAUUAGAAUGAUACUCACUUGCAUGGCCCUUAUGCAAGGCUGACAUGCAAAUUCAUUAUGCAUUCCAUAUUUUU